rnacentral:rRNA from 1 species
CCUACGGGAGGCAGCAGUGAGGAAUAUUGGUCAAUGGGCUUACGCCUGAACCAGCCAAGUCGCGUGAGGGAAGACUGCCCUAUGGGUUGUAAACCUCUUUUGUCAGGGAGCAAUUGGCGCUACGUGUAGCCUUAUCGAGAGUACCUGAAGAAAAAGCAUCGGCUAACUCCGUGCCAGCAGCCGCGGUAAUACGGAGGAUGCGAGCGUUAUCCGGAUUUAUUGGGUUUAAAGGGUGCGCAGGCGGAGGCACAAGUCAGCGGUAAAAUCGCGGGGCUCAACCCCGCUCCGCCGUUGAAACUGUGUCCCUUGAGUGCGCGAAGGGUAGGCGGAAGGCGUGGUGUAGCGGUGAAAUGCAUAGAUAUCACGCAGAACUCCGAUCGCGAAGGCAGCCUACCGGCGCGCAACUGACGCUCAUGCACGAAAGCGUGGGUAUCGAACAGGAUUAGAUACCCGAGUAGUC